GGCAUUAGUUAUAUACCAGACGAAAUUUAGGUAUAUCAAGGAUUUAAAUAGCGGUCCGCGAUUGCGAUAGUGCCCGCAAUAUACAGGUAACGGUGCCCUUCAUAACCGUUAUUAUAUGACCGCGAUACCCGCAAUUCUCGUAAUAGCGCCCGCUAUGUCCGCAAUCGCGACAAAUACGACGUGACCGAAAACGUUACUGCGAUCGCUAUUUGAAUCCCCUAGGUAUAUUACCUUUACUAAGAAUGUGUUUGUGCACACUUCUGACUAAGAGAGUGAGCACAUGGGCAUGUAGAUAUUGACAUCAUUUGUGCCAACUAGGAAAAGUACAAUAUUGGCGAGAAAAAGUAAGUCCCUUAUUACUGAACGGGUAAAUAUAUAUCUUGGUAGCUGAACUCGGCUUCAAGGAGCAGUUUGGCAUCUAAACUCUUUUUUGGUCCAAUAAAGUAUUUCAAAAAAAAAAAAAAAACUAGACUUUAAUGCUCAAUUGAUACCUAAAGUUUUUUAGGUAUCCAAAAUUGUUUCAUUGGUAAUUGAACUUCACUUUUUGGUUCAAAUUAGUACUUAGGAUGAAAGACUUUGUUAUGGUUCAAGAGAAAUAGAAAGAGAAAUCGAGAAUGAGGUAAUAGGAAGAAGAGAGAAUUUAGAGAAAGGAAAUGAUUUUCAUUCAUAACAUAAGGAAAAAUAUCAUCCAUAUUCUUGUUUUUUUAGUUAUAGGGCUAACAGAAUUUCUAAGGAUUGCCAGCUGGCUGUCCUUUCUAACAGACUAUAACAAACUCAGUUAUCUUUCUUCUCUUUUGCAGGUAUUGGGCCUUUGGACUCGGGCUGCUCCAAUUCCUCCUGGACCUGCUCCAAAUCCUCCUGGACGGUUCAGCCUGCUCCACUUCAGAAGGUAAGUAAAUCACCUUACCCUCACGUGCCUCAAUUUCCAAUUUUUCCUCUUCAAUCCCUAACCCUCACACCCAUUCCCCAAAUCCUCCUCGUUCUCUCAUCUUUCUCCUCCCACCAUGACAAUACCGCCCCUUGAGAAGAUCCUUGUCCCCAAGGAUCAAAUGAUGGAAACUGGCCUCGAAGAACGGAGUAAUCUUCCCAGGUGUCAUUCGAAUCAUCCAGUUAGUCCAUCGAACAAGCAACCGUGUCACAGAGGAUCGGUCGAGGUGACUGUGUUGCACCAACAUGCUUCUUCAACAGACUGACAUGAAAGACUGGGUGCAAGCGAGAUGUUUCUGGGCAAGGCAGGUUUGACGAUACAGUUGCAAUUUCAGCGAAGAGAAAUCAACUUCAGCCAUAUUCUGGUUCUUCUUUGGCAAUACCCUCUGAAAGUUGUCAGGAAUUAAGGCUCUGGAUACCAAUUUGUUAUGGUUCAAGAGAAAUAGAAGAGAAAUCAAGA